GACGAACGCUGGCGGCGUGCUUAACACAUGCAAGUCGAACGGAAAGGCCCUGCUUGCCGGGUACUCGAGUGGCGAACGGGUGAGUAACGCGUGGGUGAUCUGCCCUGCACUUCGGGAUAAGCCUGGGAAACUGGGUCUAAUACCGGAUAGGAGCCAUUUUUAGUGUGAUGGUUGGAAAGUUUUUUCGGUGUAGGAUGAGCUCGCGGCCUAUCAGCUUGUUGGUGGGGUAAUGGCCUACCAAGGCGGCGACGGGUAGCCGGCCUGAGAGGGUGGACGGCCACAUUGGGACUGAGAUACGGCCCAGACUCCUACGGGAGGCAGCAGUGGGGAAUAUUGCACAAUGGGCGCAAGCCUGAUGCAGCGACGCCGCGUGGGGGAUGACGGCCUUCGGGUUGUAAACUCCUUUCGCUAGGGACGAAGCUUUUGUGACGGUACCUAGAUAAGAAGCACCGGCUAACUACGUG
rnacentral:rRNA from 1 species